GGGUUGUGAGGUUAAGCGACUAAGCGUACACGGUGGAUGCCCUGGCAGUCAGAGGCGAUGAAGGACGUGCUAAUCUGCGAAAAGCGUCGGUAAGGUGAUAUGAACCGUUAUAACCGGCGAUGUCCGAAUGGGGAAACCCAGUGCAAUUCGUUGCACUAUCGUUAACUGAAUACAUAGGUUAACGAGGCGAACCGGGGGAACUGAAACAUCUAAGUACCCCGAGGAAAAGAAAUCAACCGAGAUUCCCCCAGUAGCGGCGAGCGAACGGGGAGCAGCCCAGAGUCUGAAUCAGCUUGUGUGUUAGUGGAACGGUCUGGAAAGUCCGACGGUACAGGGUGAUAGUCCCGUACACCAAAAUGCACAGGUUGUGAACUCGAAGAGUAGGGCGGGACACGUGGUAUCCUGUCUGAAUAUGGGGGGACCAUCCUCCAAGGCUAAAUACUCCUGACUGACCGAUAGUGAACCAGUACCGUGAGGGAAAGGCGAAAAGAACCCCGGCGAGGGAGUGAAAAAGAACCUGAAACCGUGUACGUACAAGCAGUGGGAGCACCUUCGGGUGUGACUGCGUACCUUUGUAUAAUGGGUCAGCGACUUAUAUUCUGUAGCAAGGUUAACCGUAGUAGGGAGCCGCAGGAAACCGAGUCGUUAACUGGGCGUUAAGUUGCAGGGUAUAGACCCGAAACCCGGUGAUCUAGCCAUGGGCAGGUUGAAGGUUGGGUAACACUAACUGGAGGACCGAACCGACUAAUGUUGAAAAAUUAGCGGAUGACUUGUGGCUGGGGGUGAAAGGCCAAUCAAACCGGGAGAUAGCUGGUUCUCCCCGAAAGCUAUUUAGGUAGCGCCUCGUGAAUUCAUCUUCGGGGGUAGAGCACUGUUUCGGCUAGGGGGUCAUCCCGACUUACCAACCCGAUGCAAACUACGAAUACCGAAGAAUGUUAUCACGGGAGACACACGGCGGGUGCUAACGUCCGUCGUGAAGAGGGAAACAACCCAGACCGCCAGCUAAGGUCCCAAAGUCAUGGUUAAGUGGGAAACGAUGUGGGAAGGCACAGACAGCCAGGAUGUUGGCUUAGAAGCAGCCAUCAUUUAAAGAAAGCGUAAUAGCUCACUGGUCGAGUCGGCCUGCGCGGAAGAUGUAACGGGCUAAACCAUGCACCGAAGCUGCGGCAGCGACACUAUGUGUUGUUGGGUAGGGAGCGUUCUGUAAGCCUGCGAAGGUGACCUGUGAGGGUUGCUGGAGGUAUCAGAAGUGCGAAUGCUGACAUAAGUAACGAUAAAGCGGGUGAAAAGCCCGCUCGCCGGAAGACCAAGGGUUCCUGUCCAACGUUAAUCGGGGCAGGGUGAGUCGACCCUAAGGCGAGGCCGAAAGGCGUAGUCGAUGGGAAACAGGUUAAUAUUCCUGUACUUGGUGUUACUGCGAAGGGGACGGAGAAGGCUAUGUUAGCCGGGCGACGGUUGUCCCGGUUUAAGCAUGUAGGCUGAUUGUCCGUGCAAAUCCGGAUAAUCAAGGCUGAGGUGUGAUGACGAGGCACUACGGUGCUGAAGUAACAAAUGCCCUGCUUCCGGAAAAGCCUCUAAGCAUCAGGUAACAUCAAAUCGUACCCCAAACCGACACAGGUGGUCAGGUAGAGAAUACCAAGGCGCUUGAGAGAACUCGGGUGAAGGAACUAGGCAAAAUGGUGCCGUAACUUCGGGAGAAGGCACGCUGGUGUGUAGGUGAAGUCCCUGCGGAUGGAGCUGAGACCAGUCGAAGAUACCAGCUGGCUGCAACUGUUUAUUAAAACACAGCACUGUGCAAACACGAAAGUGGACGUAUACGGUGUGACGCCUGCCCGGUGCCGGAAGGUUAAUUGAUGGGGUUAUCCGUAAGGAGAAGCUCUUGAUCGAAGCCCCGGUAAACGGCGGCCGUAACUAUAACGGUCCUAAGGUAGCGAAAUUCCUUGUCGGGUAAGUUCCGACCUGCACGAAUGGCGUAAUGAUGGCCAGGCUGUCUCCACCCGAGACUCAGUGAAAUUGAACUCGCUGUGAAGAUGCAGUGUACCCGCGGCAAGACGGAAAGACCCCGUGAACCUUUACUAUAGCUUGACACUGAACAUUGAGCCUUGAUGUGUAGGAUAGGUGGGAGGCUUUGAAGCGUGGACGCCAGUCUGCGUGGAGCCAACCUUGAAAUACCACCCUUUAAUGUUUGAUGUUCUAACGUUGGCCCCUUACCGGGGUUGCGGACAGUGUCUGGUGGGUAGUUUGACUGGGGCGGUCUCCUCCCAAAGCGUAACGGAGGAGCACGAAGGUUAGCUAAUCCUGGUCGGACAUCAGGAGGUUAGUGCAAUGGCAUAAGCUAGCUUGACUGCGAGCGUGACGGCGCGAGCAGGUGCGAAAGCAGGUCAUAGUGAUCCGGUGGUUCUGAAUGGAAGGGCCAUCGCUCAACGGAUAAAAGGUACCCGGGGAUAACAGGCUGAUACCGCCCAAGAGUUCAUAUCGACGGCGGUGUUUGGCACCUCGAUGUCGGCUCAUCACAUCCUGGGGCUGAAGUAGGUCCCAAGGGUAUGGCUGUUCGCCAUUUAAAGUGGUACGCGAGCUGGGUUUAGAACGUCGUGAGACAGUUCGGUCCCUAUCUGCCGUGGGCGCUGGAGAAUUGAGGGGGGCUGCUCCUAGUACGAGAGGACCGGAGUGGACGCAUCACUGGUGUUCGGGUUGUCAUGCCAAUGGCACUGCCCGGUAGCUAAAUGCGGAAGAGAUAAGUGCUGAAAGCAUCUAAGCACGAAACUUGCCCCGAGAUGAGUUCUCCCUGAGACUUUAAGUCUCCUGAAGGAACGUUGAAGACGACGACGUUGAUAGGCCGGGUGUGUAAGCGCAGCGAUGCGUUGAGCUAACCGGUACUAAUGAACCGUGAGGCUUAACCUUACAACGCCGAAG
rnacentral:rRNA from 1 species